rnacentral:rRNA from 1 species
GAGAGUUAAAUAGUACGUGAAAUUGUUGAAAGGGAAACGAUUGAAGUCAGUCAUGCUAGUGAAAAUUCAGUUUGGUGGGUUUUGGGUUCAGGAGUUGAGGCAGGGUCAAACCGUUUCUCUUUUGAACUUGGAAUUUGUCAGAUGCACUUUUUCUUUGGCAGGUCAGCGUCGAUUUCGGAGGUUGUAAAAUACUUGGGGAAAAGUAGCUCUGCUUCGGGAGAGUGUUAUAGACCUUGGGUGAUGCAGCCUGUGGGAUCGAGGAUUGCAGCAAAUACCUUUGGCUUGUCGCCUGAUCUCUGGACGUCAUCUCGCUUGUAUCAACAUUCUUGGUGCCGGUGAGUAAUGGUGCUCAUAAGGUUAGAGCGAUCAAAAAUUUUGCUAAGGAUGUUGACGUAAUGGCUUUAAACGA